rnacentral:rRNA from 1 species
CCCUGGCUCAGGAUGAACGCUGGCGGCGUGCUUAACACAUGCAAGUCGAACGAUGAUCCCAGCUUGCUGGGGGAUUAGUGGCGAACGGGUGAGUAACACGUGAGUAACCUGCCCUUAACUCUGGGAUAAGCCUGGGAAACUGGGUCUAAUACCGGAUAUGACUCCUCAUCGCAUGGUGGGGGGUGGAAAGCUUUAUUGUGGUUUUGGAUGGACUCGCGGCCUAUCAGCUUGUUGGUGAGGUAAUGGCUCACCAAGGCGACGACGGGUAGCCGGCCUGAGAGGGUGACCGGCCACACUGGGACUGAGACACGGCCCAGACUCCUACGGGAGGCAGCAGUGGGGAAUAUUGCACAAUGGGCGAAAGCCUGAUGCAGCGACGCCGCGUGAGGGAUGACGGCCUUCGGGUUGUAAACCUCUUUCAGUAGGGAAGAAGCGAAAGUGACGGUACCUGCAGAAGAAGCGCCGGCAACUA